AAUAGAUACCCAGGUAGUCCACGCUGUAAACGGUGGGUACUAGGUGUGGGGCCCAUUCCACGGGUUCCGCGCCGUAGCUAACGCUUUAAGUACCCCGCCUGGGGAGUACGGCCGCAAGGCUAAAACUCAAAGGAAUUGACGGGGCCCCGCACAAGCGGCGGAGCAUGCGGAUUAAUUCGAUGCAACGCGUAGAACCUUACCUGGGUUUGACAUGGAUCGGGAGUGCCCAGAGAUGGGUGUGCCUCUUUUGGGGUCGGUUCACAGGUGGUGCAUGGCUGUCGUCAGCUCGUGUCGUGAGAUGUUGGGUUAAGUCCCGCAACGAGCGCAACCCUUGUUCACUGUUGCCAGCACGUUAUGGUGGGGACUCAGUGGAGACCGCCGGGGUCAACUCGGAGGAAGGUGGGGAUGACGUCAAGUCAUCAUGCCCCUUAUGUCCAGGGCUUCACGCAUGCUACAAUGGCUGGUACAGAGAGUGGCGAGCCUGUGAGGGUGAGCGAAUCUCGGAAAGCCGGUCUCAGUUCGGAUUGGGGUCUGC
rnacentral:rRNA from 1 species